GCAAAUUUCAAAUUGCUCAAACACAAACAGAAUCACCGCCUCUGGAUUCAUCAAAACCCACAACGGUCGAACCCGCCUUUUCUUCUCUCUCAAGUCUCGACAAUCUCAGACUCAAACCUUAUCUCCAUCGUUCUCUUCUCCCACCCUCCCCCAUUCGAACAAUCACAACGCCAUGGACGAUGACGACCACCACCUCCAGCAACCAGACAAGUCAAUACCAAACCCUAGUUCCACCGCCUCCGGCCACUCCUCCCCCGACUCCUCUCCACUCCGCACCCUCCCUUCCAAAUCCGCCGCCUCCAAAGUCCCUCACAACCGCCGCCGGCGCCGCCAACCCAGCCCUAACCAAGCCCCUCUUCCCCACCUAACACCUCGUCAAUCCCCUUGUCUCCAUCGUUCCUGUCUGUGAAUCCAACGACUCUAGCCCGUCGGAUUGAUCAUGAAGAUUGAGCCGGCGCAAUGCCGCCGUUGUUUCGGAUUUGAAUUCGUCUCCCGUAACCGAAGAUGUUUUCUAGGGUUUUGUCGCCACCACCCUUCUUCACAAGCACCGCACACCACCACCGCCGAACCUAACUAGGAGUAUUCGCUUCUACUACGGACAACGAGUUCGGGUCAGACCAAGGAAUAUUGAUUGUUGAUUUGAUUCAGCCAAGCUUGAUUCAGGAAUUUCAAAAACCUCUCUCUGUCUCCAAGCCGUAUCAACCCUACCAUGGGUCCGGCUGCCGGCAAACUCUAUUUUGAUUUUGGGAUCUCUCUCUCAACAACAGCCACUGCUUCCUCCGCCACAGGCCUCCGUGGGUCAAUCGCUUCCUGUUCCCGUCAUUGCCGCUGCCAUGCGGUUGCUUCCCGUCACCCGCAGUCCUCGUACCCUCCAUUGUCCUCCAGCCUGCUGUUUUCGCCGUCGAAGGCAGCUGGUCAAUUAGGGUUUCAGCAGUUUCCCGUGUCGCCAGUGAUGAGCCCUAGGUGGAAAGAUCUUUGAGUAUGUUGUGGAAUCCCGACUCCAAGGGUUUUGGAUAGGUUCAGGUAGGUUGGUGGCAGGACAUUUUUUGGCCCAUGUGCUGUAGGGGUACUGGGAAUUUGUGAUAGCAUAACCAUAACCACAACCACAACCACAACAUGCUCUUUCGAACUCAACCGGAGUGACAAGGAGGGUCUUAAGUUCCCUUGGUCCAUCGACUCCUCCUUCUUGAACUCCCUCCACGAAUACAUCAAUCUUAGCUCAUAUUUGCGGCCUGACCACCUGAUCAUUGACCUCUGCUAAAUGCUCCAGAAGAAGAUAGGCAAAACCAUUGGACGAAGGCGCCUACUAGGUGUUUGACUGAAAGCCCAACAUUGGAUGAAUGUAGGAGGCUGCAAGGACAUCUGAGUUGAAAAGCUCAAAAGAUUGGAAGAAAACACGGGGAUAAGGCCAAAUCGAAUCUCUAAGGAUAAAAAUCCAGGUGACCGGAAGUCACCAAUAUGUUCCCUAAACAUGCUUGCUGGAAGGUUGUCAAUGGAAUCAGAACGCUAAAGGGUUCUCACAUGACAGCUGCCUUCUGGGAAUCCAUCCAAUCUGGGUAAUGCUAAGUGACAAAUGUACAGCUGCACACAUAUGCAAAACCUUUAGUUGGGAACAUGUGGUACCAAUUUGUUAACCAUCUAUGCCACACAAUCCUAUGGUUUCGUUUUUCUUCCCCAUUCUGGAAAAUCAGCUUAUGGUAGCAUUGUCAACUUAAGUUCUUUUGUCUUGUUCUUCACUUCAUAUGCUUUCUCUUUGUUUUGACCCAAUGAUCUUACUAUCAAUUUCAUGUUUACAUGUAUCCAUAAUAUUGCAACUGUCACUUAGAAAGUCAUGUGAAGGUUAUAGAGGACUGUUAAGAGUCUGACACUUUGAGUUGUUUUGCUAUUCUAUAAAUAUAUGAUUUUGCAGCCAUAGCUGUUUAAGCCUUAUGGCUGAUACUUCCGUCCUCAAAUUACUUGAUUAUUAUCUCAUGUAAUUUAAUUAGUAAUGUUGGUGUUCUAGUUUCUAAGGAAUUCAUAGCCUCUUUAAGUUCUUCAAUUUGUUGAAAAUGUUUUAGUGACUUUGAUUUUAU